GCCAGUGUGGUGAAAUGGUAGACGCGAAGGACUCAAAAUCCUUUGGUAGCAAUACCGUGCGGGUUCGAGUCCCGCCACUGGCACCA
rnacentral:tRNA from 1 species